ensembl:lncRNA
GGAACUAAAUGUUCAAAAUAAUAGGUGGAUCCUGUUUCACAACAAAAGAAUACACCUCCAGGCAGUCGUAUAGUCAGCAAAGUAAAAAGCCUUUAUACUAAUGCAGCACUACAUAUUAACACGUAUCAGUCAAAGUUGCCCUACGUUGGCGAUUAAAGGCUUUUUACUUUGGUUGGCGUUUCUCCAGCGGGUCUCGAGGCUGCUAAUGGUCCUGAUUCUCUUGCAGGGUGUGUGUGUGAUGUUUUAUUACACACGCAACACACACUCGUCCAGGUGAACAUUUUCAAUAUUUUUGAAUAUUUUAUUAAUUAUCGCGAAAUUAAAUCAGGCUCUGUGUGUAUUUUAAGUCAGACUGUUAUAAAGUCUGAGACUGAUAGUUUCUAAGUGAUUUCUCUUUUUACUUAUGUUACCACUAUAGCGUGCUUGCUGUCAUGAAGUGUUUAAACAGAGAUGAGAUGAUGGACACUCUUCAGCAGAUGCAUUGCGCUAAACUCAGACGCAAGUUUUCCAUCAUCAAACCGGCCAAAACUAUUAAAAUGCAGAGUUUCACACGGGAGCUAUCAGAUUUCAUGAGCUGCCCGUACAAAUCGAACGCAACGGAACGGGAGGUCAACAGGUUUGUGCGUCUUUUUUUGCCUUUGGCAGAUUUUUCAAGGUUUUGUUCAAACUGA